UUUGUAUUACGUGCGGAAAUUGUUACCAUUUUCUGCUCAAAAAUGGUAACAAUUUCCACACGUAAUACAAA
rnacentral:miRNA from 1 species